AGAGCGAACGCUGGCGGCAGGCUUAACACAUGCAAGUCGAGCGCCCCGCAAGGGGAGCGGCAGACGGGUGAGUAACGCGUGGGAACGUACCUUUUGGUUCGGAACAACACAGGGAAACUUGUGCUAAUACCGGAUAAGCCCUUACGGGGAAAGAUUUAUCGCCGAAAGAUCGGCCCGCGUCUGAUUAGCUAGUUGGUGAGGUAACGGCUCACCAAGGCGACGAUCAGUAGCUGGUCUGAGAGGAUGAUCAGCCACAUUGGGACUGAGACACGGCCCAAACUCCUACGGGAGGCAGCAGUGGGGAAUAUUGCACAAUGGGCGAAAGCCUGAUGCAGCGACGCCGCGUGAGGGAUGACGGCCUUCGGGUUGUAAACCUCUUUCAGCAGGGACGAAGCGCAAGUGACGGUACCUGCAGAAGAAGCACCGGCCAACUACGUGCCAGCAGCCGC
rnacentral:rRNA from 1 species